GCUACACCAUACCACAUGAAGCGACUCCUGAACCUGGCGAAGACCCAAAAGUAACAAGAGCUAAGUUUUUCAUCCGAGACGAGUUCCUGAGGAUCAGCACUGCCAGUGGAGAUGGCCGACACUACUGCUACCCUCCCACUUGCAACCCUGC